rnacentral:rRNA from 1 species
UACGGAGGGUGCGAGCGUUGUCCGGAAUCACUGGGCGUAAAGGGCGCGUAGGCGGCUUUUCAAGUGACGGGUGAAAUCCCUCGGCUUAACCGAGGAACUGCCUGUCAGACUGGAAGGCUUGAGACCGGGAGAGGUGAGUGGAAUUCCCAGUGUAGCGGUGAAAUGCGUAGAUAUUGGGAGGAACACCAGUGGCGAAGGCGGCUAUCUGGGCUGAAACUGACGCUGAGGCGCGAAGGCUAGGGGAGCAAACAGGG